GAAAAAAGAAGAUAAAAUUAAAAACCCUAACGCCUCUUCUUGUUCUACCUUGAAGCUGAUGUCCCUAAUCUAAAACCAGCUCCGACUGAUCUCUUCCUUGACGAACGGCAAUGACUCUCUAUGGUCGUCGUCGCCCACGGUCCUCCGAGUCAGGUGCAACAGAUGGAUCCCACCAGGAGUCACACACAAGUGCAUCAGCAAAAAGAAGAGGGCAAAUCAGAGACCCAUGUACAUUGGCGAGGCUGAUUAGGACACUCUAAUGGAGUAUUGGGAAACAUAACCAGCUAAAAAGAAGAGAAAGAAUGCUGGAAGCUACUUAUCUUAUCAUGAUGGCAUAGGGGUUCACAAGCAUGUGUAUGUCCUCGACGUUUUUUGCAGAUUGAGCAUGAGAUGUCUGGUUUGGAUGAAGCACCAGCCUUCACUGAUCUUGUGCGGAGGACACACUGACGGCGCAAAGAUGGAAUUUUCACGGAAGUGCUGAUCUCUGUUUUGGAGACUAACUUCAAGUGACUCAACACCAAUGUUAUGGUUAUGGACGAGCUGGUUGAUCACUUAUGCUGCUGCUCCUGAUCCAGAUUCUACAACUGUUGCACCUACUCCAGGUUCAAACCAAGACAACUUAGAUGUCUGAUGUGCAUCAUUAGGUCUUUAAAUUACAGGCUAUGAUGUUUAUAGCUUUUAUGUUAAACUUUCGAACAGUUAAACUUUUAUUUUGUAAGUCUUUUUGGUAAUAUGUAAGACAAGAUGAACAGUUAUUUAGUAAGCUCUUUUGGUAAUAUGUAAGAUAAGAUUA